UCCUAGCUCCUCCCACUCGCAGACCUCGAGUAUUCUCUCGGGCCGUUGCUCGGGCAGCGCCUGCCCCAGGGUGCCCCAUUCCCCCCGGGCGCUGCCAGCGCACGCUCAGAGCCGGGCAUCCGCCAGCAGCAGGGCCGGCUCUCGGGGUGACUUGUUAAGUGAGAAGUGGGGGAUGCUUCAGCGCUAGAGGUGAUGGUGGCCGCUUCCCUCCGGGAUGGUGCUUGGUCUCUACAGCCUGUUCGGGGCUAAAUCCCUUGUGCUCGCUUACUGCCCAGUUCAGUAGUAGGGAGGUGCCGCUAUGGGCACCUGUGUUUGUGUUUUUGCUUUUGUUUUUCAACAUUCUUACAUUGUUUAAAAGAAAGUGGGCUGGUUUCAGUCCUCUUAUUAAAAGACAGGCUCAAAUCACCAUUGCCCCGCACUGUAGACAGCCGUAAAAGCCUUGGCUAGAUUAGGGUUGAGCAGUAUGGUGUCAGAUUGUGUUAGCCAACUAACAGCUUCUAGCCCUCUGCUCAAGACGACAAGGUUUCCUAAUGUGAGGAGAGGAAAGAGAAGAGAGGGGUUGAGGCCUGAGGCAGGAGCCAUUGCUGUCCAGAGGAUGGAAGGAGAAAGGGGUGGUAAGUAGCAGUAAGGGGCUUCCACACAGAUGACUCUCCCUGUAUGCCUCCCCCACAAAAAACCCCAAACUAUAUGGAUUACUAACAUCCAGGCAUUUUGGUUCAAAAUCACCAGCAGCUUCUGCAGUGGACUGGGAGAAGCAACCCCCGCAAUGGAUAAAUGAAAAGGGUUCUGCACAUUCCAAGAUCCAAAAAGCUCAUUUAUGAACACGUUGAACAGCACUGGUCCCAGUACAGACCCCUGGGGACACCACUAUUUACCUCUCUGCAUUCUGAAAACUGACAGUUUAUUCCUACCCUUUGUUUCCUGUCUUUUAACCAGUGAGAGGAUCUUCCCUCUUAUCCCAUGACUGCUUAGUUUGCUUAAGACCUUUGGUGAGGGACCUUUCUGAAGGGACCUGUUUGUUUGGCAGGUUUCCUGUUUCUGAUGUAGUGAACAUUUUUUUUGCUGUUAGUUUUUGAGUCAGCUACUAGGUGCUCUUCCAAUUAUUUUUUGCUUGCCUAAUUAUGUUUUUAUACUUGACUUGCCAGAAUUUAUGCUCCUUUCUAUUGUCUAUUAGAAAAUGUUAAACAGAAAAAGUUCUCUUAAGGAAUUUAUUUAAAAGGAGAGUUUCUGGAAUAACUAGGGUAAAGCAAACCUGCGAGUAUAUUAAUCUCCACAGUGAAUUUUCCAUAAUAAAUACAUACAAACUGAUAACAAGCAGUUUUAUUUCUUGGUAAUUCAUGAUUUAACAAUGAAUUUAAAAAUUAACACAAUUUUUCCCAUCAUUUUGGCUCUUUGAAGGUCAAACCCUCCUCCCUGUUUUAGUGUAGUAUAAGUAUAAAAUUAAAGUUAGUUUGUUUCAUUAAGAAAAUAUAUAUAUGUUGUAAAGAAAGGCCCUGACUAACAAGUAGAAGGAAAACCUUGAAAAUAAUAAGGACAGAAGGAAUAAAGUCGGGAGGAUGUCUGGUUCAAAGACUAACUAACAAGGUAAGGGGAAGUUUCUAAAAUGAAGGCCUCUGGCCAAUAGGGGUGACUACAGAUGGUUGUAAAUUAAAGAGAAUCUGUCUUAAAAUGAGCCAACACAGCCAUUCCCCAACCCAACAUUAGUGUUAAAGCCUCUGUGAACCCAGAUAAAAUUGGGCAGCAAGGAGGAGAGGAAAGGCCUUAGGAAGAAAGAAGGUUGUAAAUCUUAUCUAGAUUAAGACUGGAAAUAAGGGUGAACUGUCUCCAAUUGGUUUUAGAGUAGCAGUCGUGUUAGUCUGUAUCCGUAAAAUGAAAAGGAGUACUUGUGGCACCUUACCUGAAGUCAGUAAUUGGCAGUGACAUCACUAGUUUGUUAAAGGGUAUAAAAAGUAAACCCUUAAAGGGUUCAUUGCUAGUAGUUGCCUGACCAUGCUGGAGUCAACCAAUAUGGGUCUAGCACUCCUGGGUUUAGCCCAUUAGUAAGUAUCUUGAUCAAAUGCUAUUAAAUGUUUUGUUACUGCUUGGAUGUAGUAAAUUGCUUAUUGUUUGGUCUUUUUAAGCAUAUAUAGAGCAACUGCAUAAAGUACCAUUUGGCUUUGGAUUGAAUAAAGAAAUGUAUGGCUAAAUUGGUGUUUAGAAUUAUUAAUGGGAAAAUCACCAAUGCCUAGUGAUAUUAAAGGAAGCUGAGAAGCUGGUUAUGACAAGUCUUCCUUAAAAUUACUCCUAAUACCAGAGCACAGCACCAGUGCCCCCUCAAAAUCUGCUGCUGGAGUGGGAGCAGGCUGCCAGCAGUCUUUGGGCAUAAUCUGAUUCUACAACAAGGAGAAAGAUGCUGGUCACUAGUGGACUCCUUCAGGUUUCUUCAGCAGCAGAGCCUACUGGUAUAAAACCCCUCAAGGAUUGUGCUGUUCACGGGGUUUGGCAUAGAUUUUUAUUCUGAGCUCUUGCAGUUCUUAUCUGUUGCUCACCGUUCUGUACCUUUUUGUUUCAUGCUUCAAGGCAGCAAUAUCUCCCAGAACUAAUUCAGUAUCUUUUUAAGGUUCUGAGCCUAACUGGGCACAGCUGAUCUGAUUACUCCCUAGCUGGGAGUUCCUCCCUGAGCUGACUUUUAAAACUUCUGCUUGGCUAUGACCCAAAGAGCCCCAUGCCACUUAUACAGCCUUUUUUUGUAUAGCCUCCUGCACAUCCUCUGUUCCUGAAGACUCUGAGAUUCUGUUUAAUUUGCAAGCCUCCAUCUCUGUCAGACUAUGACAUAGUUUCUCUUGGUUCCACAUGCCUUUUUUUCUGCUUGAUUCUCAGGAGUGUAAUUCUUCUUUUCCCUGCCACUACAUUUUAUUUUUAAAACAAUACAAGGGGUCAUUCCCUUACUGAUCACCUGCAGCAAGCACUGUUCUUUAAUGCAGGAGCUGAGGAAAAUCAGUUCACCAUCACCCCAUUGUAACUGUUUCAUGCCUUCUCUCUGUAAAGAACUAUUUUUUUCCCCCUUCCCCAACUCUGGUCCUCCUGCAACAAAAAAACAAGCCCCCUACCUCUUUUAAACUAGGGGAAAAUUUCUAUUCAUUCUUUGUAGUGUGCAGUCUGUAACACGCUGUUGAUUAGUCCUGAUUCCAUCCAGAAGAGAACACUGUUAUCGUAUUUUUAUUUUAUUAAAACUUCAUAAACCAUUUUAAAACUGAAACAAAAAUAAUUUUUAAAGUACCAGAGGUUCCCUCUUUAUCAACACAAACCAUCCCAUUCUUUCCCAUCACUGGCUUCUGUCAUGUUUGAAUAUAACAAUAGUGACACCAGUUCCAGAAAGUUUUGAUCUUUGCUAUGAGAAUCUGGUAAAUUGCCAUCCUUGCCUACCUGCUUCCUUGUUUUUUUUAUGGAUGGUGACUGAGGAGAAUGGGUGGUGGUCAACUCCAGAAGCAUCUCUCACCAGCAGCUUGUGUGAUAAUUUCCAGUGUGGCUCCUUUGCUCAAGGUUACACUGAUCUGGGGACUUGUUUCAUUAUUAUUAUUGCUAGGUUGAUUGACACUUUUAAUCAUGAAUUCCUGUUAUAGUGAAUGAGCAUCUGUAUUUCCUUGGUACAGCACUCACUUAGUUUUAUUUUUUUUUAAUUUAAGUACAGUGACUCAAAGUAUAUUAUGGAACAUAAAGACCAGAGGCUGUGUAACUCAGAAAAUAGUGGCCAUAAAGCAAUCAAACAUAAAUAACUCCUCUCACACCAGCCCUCAGAAGGGCACAUCUAUCAAUGUUCUGACUUGUUACAAUAUACAAAGGAUGGGUGCCAAGUGUUCUUAAAUUCAGCAAGCUUAUUAUGAAGUCUUGCUCCAAGGAAGUAAUGUCACACUCCUGUCAAGUUCAGUAAUAUGAAAACCUUUCCAAAAUUUCAUCAUCUAUGUCUAGCAGCAUAGAACAAAUGUCUUUUAAUUGAUCCCAUAUAUCUCUUAGCCCAAAGCCCAACAGUCACCUAGGCAGCUCCAAAAGAGUGACAAGUUAGGAUUCACAGAACGUUGGAAUGCUUUCUGUAGUGAGGAGGACUGUUGGGUAUGAUCUGGUUUAGAGUGGUGUUUAAUAUAAAGGAAUGAAAUCUUGCCCAGAAUAGCACAGGCAGGGGGUAAAUGAUGCUGUCUAGCACAUCCUCAGCAAACAGACUUCAACCAACUAUGGCAGAAGGAAUAAACCAUAAUUGCCCCCUCAGCUGGCAAGGUCAUGUGACGAGUAAAGAAUCCCCCCCCCAGUUGUUUUUCUAACAUUAAACAAGGAACUUUUAGUCUACAGAAACUAUGCUCUCCCUCUUCUAACAAGUAAUUACCUAUUAUGUACUUAUUGCUGAGAAGAUGGCAGUUUCUGUCUCUCUCUCCCUUUGAUUCAUUGUUGAGCUUUUGUUUAGAACAUUUUAUUUUCUGCCUCCCACUUGGUUUUCUGCUAUAGUUUUAAGGAAGUAGAACACCUAUCCACCUAUGGUUGGUGCUGGAAUUAGAGCUGCUGGGAUUUUAUUUCCCAUUCCUCUUUCUAGGGAGGGAACAGGUGGGUGGGAUCUUCACAUCUCUCCCAGCCCUGGAAGGAGCUCAUGAGCAGGGGAUCUUCUCUUUCAUUCCAUAGUCCUGUAGAGGGAUCUGUGGCAGAUAGAAGCAGAUGGGAUUGCUUGCAGGAGAAGAUUGUUGGGUUAGAACAGGGAAUGCUGUUGGCUCGACCUUCACCUCACCCAUAUUGGGUGAGAGAUUGGUAAUAUCAGUGAUGUUGGAUCAUAUUAAAGAAGUUCUGUAUUAAAAUCACAAAUGAGUUUGAUUCCCCAUAGUUUAAAUUCCAGGGUAUUACUAAUUAAGAGGGAGGUCUCUUGGUUUUUGCCUGCUAAUUGUGUUAGUACAUCCUAAAACAGAGUCUGUUCUCAAAGCAAUACUUUGUAACAAUGACUACUCACACACAGAGACUCAAAGCGUUACUUUGUAAUAACAGAAACAGCACAAAGAGGCUCCCCACCCUUUUGUUGUAUUUAUCUCGCUUUGUUAACAAUUGUGAUUAAAAUAGAGAUAGAGGAUGUAUGUGGAUGGAUGCUUGGUGUGGAUAAUAAAUGAAUGAUCAGGGAGGUGCCAGCCUAAGAAUCCAGUGUCCAUCGGCUGAAGAAGGCGUCAAGUGGAAACAACCAGAGGACCCCCGGAGGGCAGACUGGAAUCCAACAGCCUCAAGGAUAGGAGAACCGAAGAACAAGAUAACAUCUGGCAGCAUGGAGCCAUCAGGAAUGUGCCAUCUGCUGAUUGAUUCAGGAACAGCAUGAUGAAGCAAUUCCCACAGACUGGCAUAGGAAGAAAUUCCUAUAAAAGUGGACUCUAGAAAGUGAGAACUUUGGGGUCUGAUUCUGCAAACCAACUUCCAGGAGCAUCAGAUGAGCAUCUGACAAGGUCCUGCUCCCUCCUUGUGUCCAGGCCGCCUGGCCAGUGGCUUGGCACAAGCAACUCUAAGGCUGGUAACUAUGAUAACAACCUUGCAGAACCUGUGUGUGUGUGUGUAUGAAUGAAUGUGUGAAUAAAUAUGAAAUUGAAUGGAAUGUUAUAGCUAUAACUAACUGCUUACUAUGAUUCUUUCUGUAUUCACAAUAAA